rnacentral:rRNA from 2 species
UGGGGAAUAUUGCACAAUGGAGGGAACUCUGAUGCAGCGACGCCGCGUGAACGAAGAAGGCUUUCGAGUCGUAAAGUUCUUUUAUAUGGGAAGAUAAUGACGGUACCAUAAGAAAAAGCCCCGGCUAACUACGUGCCAGCAGCCGCGGUAAUACGUAGGGGGCUAGCGUUGUCCGGAAUCACUGGGCGUAAAGGGUUCGCAGGCGGAAAUGCAAGUCAGGUGUAAAAGGCAGUAGCUUAACUACUGUAAGCAUUUGAAACUGCAUAUCUUGAGAAGAGUAGAGGGAAGUGGAAUUUUUAGUGUAGCGGUGAAAUGCGUAGAUAUUAAAAAGAAUACCGGUGGCGAAGGCGACUUACUGGGCUCAUUCUGACGCUGAGGAACGAAAGCGUGGGUAGCAAACAGG